rnacentral:rRNA from 1 species
UGGCUCAGGAUGAACGCUAGCGGGAGGCCUAACACAUGCAAGCCGAGCGGUAGAGAUUCUUCGGAAUCUUGAGAGCGGCGUACGGGUGCGGAACACGUGUGCAACCUGCCUUUAUCAGGGGGAUAGCCUUUCGAAAGGAAGAUUAAUACCCCAUAAUAUUUAGAAUGGCAUCAUUUUAAAUUGAAAACUCCGGUGGAUAAAGAUGGGCACGCGCAAGAUUAGAUAGUUGGUAGGGUAACGGCCUACCAAGUCAGUGAUCUUUAGGGGGCCUGAGAGGGUGAUCCCCCACACUGGUACUGAGACACGGACCAGACUCCUACGGGAGGCAGCAGUGAGGAAUAUUGGACAAUGGGUGAGAGCCUGAUCCAGCCAUCCCGCGUGAAGGAUGACGGCCCUAUGGGUUGUAAACUUCUUUUGUAUAGGGAUAAACCUUUCCACGUGUGGAAAGCUGAAGGUACUAUACGAAUAAGCACCGGCUAACUCCGUGCCAGCAGCCGCGGUAAUACGGAGGGUGCAAGCGUUAUCCGGAUUUAUUGGGUUUAAAGGGUCCGUAGGCGGAUCUGUAAGUCAGUGGUGAAAUCUCACAGCUUAACUGUGAAACUGCCAUUGAUACUGCAGGUCUUGAGUAAGGUAGAAGUAGCUGGAAUAAGUAGUGUAGCGGUGAAAUGCAUAGAUAUUACUUAGAACACCAAUUGCGAAGGCAGGUUACUAUGUCUUAACUGACGCUGAUGGACGAAAGCGUGGGGAGCGAACAGGAUUAGAUACCCUGGUAGUCCACGCCGUAAACGAUGCUAACUCGUUUUUGGGUUUUCGGAUUCAGAGACUAAGCGAAAGUGAUAAGUUAGCCACCUGGGGAGUACGUUCGCAAGAAUGAAACUCAAAGGAAUUGACGGGGGCCCGCACAAGCGGUGGAUUAUGUGGUUUAAUUCGAUGAUACGCGAGGAACCUUACCAAGGCUUAAAUGGGAAUUGAUCGGUUUAGAAAUAGACCUUCCUUCGGGCAAUUUUCAAGGUGCUGCAUGGUUGUCGUCAGCUCGUGCCGUGAGGUGUUAGGUUAAGUCCUGCAACGAGCGCAACCCCUGUCACUAGUUGCCAUCAUUAAGUUGGGGACUCUAGUGAGACUGCCUACGCAAGUAGAGAGGAAGGUGGGGAUGACGUCAAAUCAUCACGGCCCUUACGCCUUGGGCCACACACGUAAUACAAUGGCCGGUACAGAGGGCAGCUACACAGCGAUGUGAUGCAAAUCUCGAAAGCCGGUCUCAGUUCGGAUUGGAGUCUGCAACUCGACUCUAUGAAGCUGGAAUCGCUAGUAAUCGCGCAUCAGCCAUGGCGCGGUGAAUACGUUCCCGGGCCUUGUACACACCGCCCGUCAAGCCAUGGAAGUCUGGGGUACCUGAAGUCGGUGACCGUAAAAGGAGCUGCCUAGGGUAAAACAGGUAACUAGGGCUAAGUCGUAACAAG